rnacentral:rRNA from 1 species
GACGAACGCUGGCGGCGUGCUUAACACAUGCAAGUCGUACGGUAAGGCCCUUUCGGGGGUACACGAGUGGCGAACGGGUGAGUAACACGUGAGUAACCUGCCCACAACUUUGGGAUAACGCUAGGAAACUGGUGCUAAUACUGGAUAUGUGCUCCUGCUGCAUGGUGGGGGUUGGAAAGCUCCGGCGGUUGUGGAUGGACUCGCGGCCUAUCAGCUUGUUGGUGGGGUAGUGGCCUACCAAGGCGGCGACGGGUAGCCGGCCUGAGAGGGUGUCCGGCCACAUUGGGACUGAGAUACGGCCCAGACUCCUACGGGAGGCAGCAGUGGGGAAUAUUGCACAAUGGGCGCAAGCCUGAUGCAGCAACGCCGCGUGCGGGAUGACGGCCUUCGGGUUGUAAACCGCUUUCAGCAGGGACGAAGCUUUUUGUGACGGUACCUGCAGAAGAAGCACCGGCUAACUACGUG